UAGAUUCUAAAACAAAUAAUAAAAUCUGGUC
rnacentral:piRNA from 1 species